UUCCGGUUGAUCCUGCCGGAGGCCACUGCUAUUGGGAUCCGACUAAGCCAUGCGAGUCGAGAGGGUUCGGCCCUCGGCAGACUGCUCAGUAACACGUGGAUAAUCUACCCUUAGGUGGAGGAUACUCUCGGGAAACUGAGAAUAAUACUCCAUAGGUCUAGGAUGCUGGAAUGCACCUAGAUUGAAAGUUCCGGCGCCUAAGGAUGAGUCUGCGGACUAUCAGGUAGUAGUCAGGGUAAAGACCUGACUAGCCUACGACGGAUACGGGUUGUGAGAGCAAUAGCCCGGAGACGAUAUCUGAGACACGAUAUCGGGCCCUACGGGGCGCAGCAGGCGCGAAAUCUUCACAAUGUGCGAAAGCACGAUGAGGGGAUCCCAAGUGUUGGUUCGUAAGAGUCAUCUGUUUCUUUGUCUAAAAAACAGAGAGAGUAAGAGCUGGGUAAGACGGGUGCCAGCCGCCGCGGUAAUACCUGCAGCUCAAGUGGUGGCCGCUAUUAUUGGGCCUAAAACGUCCGUAGCCGGUUUAGUAAAUGCCUGGGUAAAUUGUGUAGCUCAACUAUACGAAUACCGGGUAGACUGCUAAACUUGGAACCGGGAGAGGCUAGAGGUACUCCUAGGGUAGAGGUGAAAUUCUGUAAUCCUAGGGGGACCACCAGUGGCGAAGGCGUCUAGCUAGAACGGAUUUGACGGUGAGGGACGAAGCCCUGGGGCGCAAACCGGAUUAGAUACCCGGGUAGUCCAGGGUGUAAACGCUGCUCGCUUGAUGUUAGUCGGGCUCCGAGCCCAACUAGUGUCGGAGAGAAGUUGUUAAGCGAGCUGCCUGGGAAGUACGGUCGCAAGGCUGAAACUUAAAGGAAUUGGCGGGGGAGCACAGCAACGGGUGGAGCGUGCGGUUUAAUUGGAUCAACGCCGGA
rnacentral:rRNA from 1 species